CGGAGUGUAGUACAGCGGUAGUAUACACGCUUCGGGUGCGUGAGACCCGAGUUCGAUUCUCGGCACUCCGA
rfam:Candidatus Zambryskibacteria bacterium RIFCSPHIGHO2_02_FTLL_43_14 rifcsphigho2_02_scaffold_1954, whole genome shotgun sequence.